rnacentral:lncRNA from 1 species
AUGAGAAAUAUUGUUACCAAAAGGGAAAGGAGCUUGUGCAGGAUCAAUCCUUCUAGCCAUCCACCCACCCACCUAUCCAUCACUGAGAACCAUGCUCCAUGCCAGGCAGCUUCACAAAAGGUCCCUUUCCCUGACUCUUCAGAGGCCAGAUUUUCCAUCUUGGUACUAGAUGUCUCCGACGUGCAAAGUACGAUCCAAAGCAGAAGGGAGUACACCCGCAGUCAAGAGGGCCGCAGUCAAGCCUCACUGGUCAAAGGGACCCCACCAGCCCCAGUCCAACCCCUCCUUCCAGCCCACCCAGGGCCCCCCUUAGUGCCAAAGCUCAGUUCAAGCAGUGUUCCUGGAGGAGGAAGAAGAGGAUGGAGAAGAGAAAAGCCCAGGACGGAAAUGAAGAGGACAUCUCUGCAACAUGAUGUCACGCAGGCUGCUUUCAGAUCCCCCAAACGAACGGAGAACAGAAGCAAACAACAUGGACUCCAGAUUUAUUCGGCCUCAAAAGCUGUAGGUGCACAGGAGAACUUGCUGAAGCUGGAUAGUAUUGAUGAUCCGCUGGUGUCACCUGUGUCCUGUUCACUGACCUCAUGCUGAGAGCUAAAACUUCUUGACAUUUACUGGCAGAAAGUUUUAUUCUGAAAGUGCCUAGCCCUGCAGGCUCGUGAUAGUUCUUUCCAUGGUUGUUUCUUUCUGCAACCUGUUGACAGAGCAGCAGCCUCAUGGGAUCUUGGAAGCAGCUGGGUCUGAGCUGCUGGGUCACCUCAGUUACCUAGAGGAAUACUAGCUCCACAAAAAAGGCAUUCUGGCAAUGCCAAGAGACACAUGCCCAAUUCUACCCAUUCUUCCUUGUCUGCUAAUUUGAUCCACAGGGUUAUUUUGGGCUUGGGUCAGAUCUGGAUCCAAAGCAGCUAAAUUCUGCAGUUUUCUGCAUCUGUAAUCCUUAUUAGUCACUUUCCUACCCUCAUCUAAGAUUCACUUUUUACCUGAAAAAAACAAUAAAUGUGUACCCCCUCCUGGGUACUGUUGAAUCAAUGAGGAACUAAAAGAAAGACAUGAAAACACCUAAGAAAGUAGCCGGGCAUGGUGGCGCAUGCCUGUAAUCCCAGCACUCAGGAGGCUGAGGCAGGAAGAUCGUUGU